rnacentral:rRNA from 1 species
CCUACGGGUGGCAGCAGUGGGGAAUAUUGCGCAAUGGGCGAAAGCCUGACGCAGCGACGCCGCGUGAGGGAUGAAGGUCUUCGGAUCGUAAACCUCUGUCAGCAGGGAAGAACGGUCACUGUGCUAAUCAGCAGUGAAUUGACGGUACCUGCAAAGGAAGCACCGGCUCACUCCGUGCCAGCAGCCGCGGUAAGACGGAGGGUGCGAGCGUUAAUCGGAUUUACUGGGCGUAAAGCGCGCGUAGGCGGUAUGUCAAGUCAAGGGUGAAAUCCCCGGGCUCAACGUGGGAACUGCCGUUGAAACUGGCAAACUUGAGUGUGUGAGAGGAUAGCGGAAUUCCAGGUGUAGGAGUGAAAUCCGUAGAUAUCUGGAGGAACAUCAGUGGCGAAGGCGACUAUCUGGCACAUAACUGACGCUGAGGAGCGAAAGCGUGGGUAGCAAACAGGAUUAGAUACCCGAGUAGUC